GUGGGGAAUAUUGCACAAUGGGCGAAAGCCUGAUGCAGCGACGCCGCGUGAGGGAUGACGGCCUUCGGGUUGUAAGCCUCUUUCAGCAGGGAAGAAGCGAAAGUGACGGUACCUGCAGAAGAAGCGCCGGCUAACUACGUGCCAGCAGCCGCGGUAAUACGUAGGGCGCGAGCGUUGUCCGGAAUUAUUGGGCGUAAAGAGCUCGUAGGCGGCUUGUCGCGUCGGUUGUGAAAGCCCGGGGCUUAACCCCGGGUCUGCAGUCGAUACGGGCAGGCUAGAGUUCGGUAGGGGAGAUCGGAAUUCCUGGUGUAGCGGUGAAAUGCGCAGAUAUCAGGAGGAACACCGGUGGCGAAGGCGGAUCUCUGGGCCGAUACUGACGCUGAGGAGCGAAAGCGUGGGGAGCGAACAGGAUUAGAUACCCUGGUAGUCCACGCCGUAAACGGUGGGCACUAGGUGUGGGCGACAUUCCACGUCGUCCGUGCCGCAGCUAACGCAUUAAGUGCCCCGCCUGGGGAGUACGGCCGCAAGGC
rnacentral:rRNA from 1 species